CCUGGGACUGGAGCUUUGGAAUGGAAGGAUACAGGCUCUUCAGGAAACACAGGCAGGGAACAUGAGGAGGGACUGUCACCCUCUAUGCCAAUGACCAGCUGGGGUGCACAGAGCUCUGCCAUGAGCCUCAGAUGAGCAGCCACCCAAGAACUCAGGGGUCAGGAUCAAAGGGAAGGCAGGGACAGGUGACAUUAUAGUGGGGGUUUGCUACAGACCACCAGAGCAGGAAGAGUGAGUGGAUAAGCCUCUGCCUCGUGAGUUACAGCCACUGCUGAGGAUUCACUGCUGUGCUGACACUGCUCUGGUGCUACUGCUGCUCAAACCACUCAGGAUCUAAAUAGAUCAGAAUAGAUCAGACCACGUUCAUCCCACAUGACAGAUCUGAGAUGAGUACCUCAGCAGCUCCUCAAUGUCCUCCUCAGGAUCCCUG